GGUGCUUUUUCUUCUUCGGAGGGAGAAGUAACCCGGCGGACGGCUCAGUAACACGUGGACAACUUGCCCUUGGGACCGGGAUAACCCCUGGGAAACUGGGGCUAAUACCGGAUAGAGCAUCGGUUGCUGGAAUGCACGAUGUUCGAAAGCUGAGGCACCCAAGGAUAGGUCUGCGGCCGAUUAGGUUGUUGUUGAUGUGACGGAUCAACAAGCCUACGAUCGGUACGGGUUGUGAGAGCAAUAGCCCGGAGAUGGGUUCUGAGAAAAGAACCCAGGUCCUACGGGACGCAUCAGGCGCGAAAACUUUACAAUGUGCGAAAGCACGAUAAGGGAACUCUGAGUGCCUCCUAAGGAGGCUGUUCAGGUGUCUAAAAAGCAUCUGGAGGAAGGGCUGGGUAAGACCGGUGCCAGCCGCCGCGGUAACACCGGCAGCUCAAGUGGUAGCCACGUUUAUUGGGUCUAAAGCGUCCGUAGCCGGCUGAGUAAGUUCCUUGGGAAAUUUGACCGCUCAACGGUUAAGCUAUCAGGGAAUACUGCUUGGCUUGGGACCGGGAGAGGUCAGAGGUACUCCAAGGGUAGGGGUGAAAUCCAUUAAUCCUUGGGGGACCACCGGUAGCGAAGCGUCUGACCAGACCGGGUCCGACGGUGA
rnacentral:rRNA from 1 species